UAGGGUUCUGAUUCUGAACUUUGCUCCCUAAAAUCUCUAGAACCAUCACUUCCGCUCCACCAUCACCAAUCGAAUCAUCCUCUACUCCACCUCAUUGUCGAUGAUCCAAAACCCUAAUCGCUCCCAAAAAUGGAAACCGUUGGACUUCAGCAAUGAGCAAAUGAUUUCUUAGGGUUCGGUUUGUUGGGAACUAUGACUAACGGUCUUGUUAUUCUUAAUCGAAGAUUACAGGUCAAGGAUGAAAUAGUAGGUUACAAGUAGUAGAAGCAAGGAUACAAGUUUGAUUUUCAAAGGAUUUCACCACCAACAGCAACAUGGAUUUUGAUACCAGAAGUUGAGCACAGAGCAAAGCUAGAUUCAACACCAUUUGCAUCAUGAGUUAGACUAUCAGCUACUAUGGUUACUAUGAUUGAAAAGUUUGAACUUAGUUAUCAAGGAGCUCAUUAAAGAAAAGGAUGAAGAAAAAGAAAAAGAAAAAGAAAGGCUAAAUGGAAUUAUUGCAGGGUGGUUGGUUGGUUGGCUGAAAAAAAAAAGAUAAGGUGGAUAAAGAUGCUAUACUCGAUACGAUGUCACAAAUUGAAGCUGUGUUAACAAGUACAGUUUGAAGAUAGGCUACAAACACUUGGUUUUGAAUGUUUCGAUGUUUAUCGUAUUAGGAUUUUUUUAGUUAUUUCAUGUUUUAGCUGGUAUUUCUAUUAGAAUGUUUUGUAUGCUUUUGAUACAUAGAUGUUUUAUAUAAUUUUGGGUUUUCGU
rnacentral:lncRNA from 1 species